rnacentral:rRNA from 1 species
CCGGUAAACGGCGGCCGUAACUAUAACGGUCCUAAGGUAGCGAAAUUCCUUGUCGGGUAAGUUCCGACCUGCACGAAUGGCGUAAUGAUGGCCAGGCUGUCUCCACCCGAGACUCAGUGAAAUUGAACUCGCUGUGAAGAUGCAGUGUACCCGCGGCAAGACGGAAAGACCCCGUGAACCUUUACUAUAGCUUGACACUGAACACUGGUCCUUGAUGUGUAGGAUAGGUGGGAGGCUUUGAAGCGCGGACGCCAGUUCGUGUGGAGCCAUCCUUGAAAUACCACCCUUUAAUGGCUGGUGUUCUAACGUAGACCCGUAAUCCGGGUUGCGGACAGUGUCUGGUGGGUAGUUUGACUGGGGCGGUCUCCUCCUAAAGAGUAACGGAGGAGCACGAAGGUUAGCUAAUCCUGGUCGGACAUCAGGAGGUUAGUGCAAAGGCAUAAGCUAGCUUGACUGCGAGAGUGACGGCUCGAGCAGGUGCGAAAGCAGGUCUUAGUGAUCCGGUGGUUCUGAAUGGAAGGGCCAUCGCUCAACGGAUAAAAGGUACUCCGGGGAUAACAGGCUGAUACCGCCCAAGAGUUCAUAUCGACGGCGGUGUUUGGCACCUCGAUGUCGGCUCAUCACAUCCUGGGGCUGAAGUAGGUCCCAAGGGUAUGGCUGUUCGCCAUUUAAAGUGGUACGCGAGCUGGGUUUAGAACGUCGUGAGACAGUUCGGUCCCUAUCUGCCGUGGGCGCUGGAGAAUUGAGGGGGGCUGCUCCUAGUACGAGAGGACCGGAGUGGACGCAUCACUGGUGUUCGGGUUGUCAUGCCAAUGGCAUUGCCCGGUAGCUAAAUGCGGAAAAGAUAAGUGCUGAAAGCAUCUAAGCACGAAACUUGCC